rnacentral:tRNA from 1 species
CUAACCUUAGUUUAUAUAGAAUAUUGGUUUUGGGGACCAAUGGUCUCGUGAGAGAGGUUUGA